rnacentral:rRNA from 1 species
AACGAACGCUGGCGGCAGGCCUAACACAUGCAAGUCGAGCGAGGACUUCGGUCCUAGCGGCGGACGGGUGAGUAACGCGUGGGAACGUGCCCUUUGCUUCGGAAUAGCCCUGGGAAACUGGGAUUAAUACCGGAUGAGCCCUUUGGGGGAAAGAUUUAUCGGCGAAGGAUCGGCCCGCGUUGGAUUAGGUAGUUGGUGGGGUAAUGGCCUACCAAGCCGACGAUCCAUAGCUGGUUUGAGAGGAUGAUCAGCCACACUGGGACUGAGACACGGCCCAGACUCCUACGGGAGGCAGCAGUGGGGAAUCUUAGACAAUGGGGGAAACCCUGAUCUAGCCAUGCCGCGUGAGCGAUGAAGGCCUUAGGGUUGUAAAGCUCUUUAAGCUGGGAAGAUAAUGACGGUACCAGCAGAAGAAGCCCCGGCUAACUCCGUG